rnacentral:tRNA from 1 species
UCCGUCGUACGAGACGUGGUGCAGAUCAAGACUUUUUGUGUCUUCCAAUCGCAAUCCGCAUACCUGGCAGGCUGGUUCGAAUCCGGCUGACCGGC